rnacentral:rRNA from 1 species
AUGGAGUGCUUGCACUCCUGAUGCUUAGCGGCGGACGGGUGAGUAAUACGUAGGUAACCUGCCCUUAAGACCGGGAUAACUCACGGAAACGUGGGCUAUACCGGAUAGGCGAUUUCCUCGCAUGAGGGAAUCGGGAAAGGCGGAGCAAUCUGCCACUUAUGGAUGGACCUACGGCGCAUUAGCUAGUUGGUGGGGUAACGGCUCACCAAGGCGACGAUGCGUAGCCGACCUGAGAGGGUGAUCGGCCACACUGGGACUGAGACACGGCCCAGACUCCUACGGGAGGCAGCAGUAGGGAAUCUUCCGCAAUGGACGCAAGUCUGACGGAGCAACGCCGCGUGAGUGAUGAAGGUUUUCGGAUCGUAAAGCUCUGUUGCCAGGGAAGAACGCUAUGGAGAGUAACUGUUCCAUAGGUGACGGUACCUGAGAAGAAAGCCCCGGCUAACUACGUGCCAGCAGCCGCGGUAAUACGUAGGGGGCAAGCGUUGUCCGGAAUUAUUGGGCGUAAAGCGCGCGCAGGCGGUCAUGUAAGUCUGGUGUUUAAACCCGGGGCUCAACUCCGGGUCGCAUCCGAAACUGUGUGACUUGAGUGCAGAAGAGGAAAGUGGAAUUCCACGUGUGCGGUGAAAUGCGUAGAGAUGUGGAGGAACACCAGUGGCGAAGGCGACUUUCUGGGCUGUAACUGACGCUGAGGCGCGAAAGCGUGGGGAGCAAACAGGAUUGAUACCCUGGUAGUCCACGCCGUAAACGAUGAAUGCUAGGGUGUUAGGGGGUUUCGAUACCCUUGGUGCCGAAGUUAACACAUUAAGCAUUCCGCCUGGGGGAGUACGGUCGCAAGACUGAAACUCAAAGGGAAUUGACGGGGGACCCGCACAAGAGUGGGAGUAUGUGGUUUAAUUCGAAGCAACGCGAAGAAACCUUACCAGGUCUUUGACAUCCCUCUGACCGUCCUAGAGAUAGGGCUUCCCUUUCGGGGCAGAAGAUGACANAGGUGGGUGCAUGGUUUGUUCGUUCAGCCCCGUGUCGUGAAGAUGUUGGGGUUAAG